rnacentral:rRNA from 1 species
UGGGGAAUAUUGCACAAUGGGCGCAAGCCUGAUGCAGCCAUGCCGCGUGUGUGAAGAAGGCCUUCGGGUUGUAAAGCACUUUCAGCGAGGAGGAAGGUGGUGAGCUUAAUACGCUCAUCAAUUGACGUUACUCGCAGAAGAAGCACCGGCUAACUCCGUGCCAGCAGCCGCGGUAAUACGGAGGGUGCAGGCGUUAAUCGGAAUUACUGGGCGUAAAGCGCACGCAGGCGGUUUGUUAAGUCAGAUGUGAAAUCCCCGGGCUCAACCUGGGAACUGCAUUUGAAACUGGCAAGCUAGAGUCUCGUAGAGGGGGGUAGAAUUCCAGGUGUAGCGGUGAAAUGCGUAGAGAUCUGGAGGAAUACCGGUGGCGAAGGCGGCCCCCUGGACGAAGACUGACGCUCAGGUGCGAAAAGCGUGGGGAGCAAACAGGAUUAGAUACCCUGGUAGUCCACGCUGUAAACGAUGUCGAUUUUGGAGGUUGUGCCCUUGAGGCGUGGCUUCCGGAGCUAACGCGUUAAAUCGACCGCCUGGGGAGUACGGCCGCAAGGUUAAAACUCAAAGGAAUUGACGGGGUCAUAGCUGUUUCCU